AGAUGGGGUUUUGCCAUGUUGUCCAGGCUGGUCUUGAACUCCUGUCUCAAGCAAUCCACCCACCUUGGCCUCCGAAAGUACUGGGAUUACAAGCAUGAGCCACCACUAUGCCCAGCCUUCAUCUGUGCUAUUUUUAUGAAAACACAGUGCGAGAACAGAUGAAUACAGAGGAUCUCUGGAGCCCAGGAGUUCGAGCCCAGGAGUAAGCCGUGGUCACACCACUGUACUCCAGCCUAGGCAACAGAUUCUGUUCUCAUCUUGAUAAGAAUAACCAGUCAGGUGGCCAGGCACAGUGGCUCACGCCUGUAAUCUCAUCACUUUGGGAGGCCAAGGUGGGUGGAUCACUUGAGGCCAUGAGUUCAAGACCAGCCUGGCCAACAUAGCAAAACCCCAUCCCUACUAAAAUGCAAAAGUUAGCUGGCACAGUGGUGCAUGCCUGUAGUUCAAGCUACUCAGGAGGCUGAGGUGGGGGGAUGGCUUGAGCCCAGGAGGCAGAGCAAUCACACCACUGCACGGCAGCCUGGGCAACCGAGCUAGACCCUGUCUUAAGAAAAGAAAAGAAAAAAAAAGAAUAACCAGUCAGGGCACUAUAAUCUCACAUGGGUAACUGACCUGUAGCCAACCCCGCUAUUUGGAGUGAAGUUCAGGUCCAGACACAAGCACUUACAUACUUGAUGUCAGACAUCCAAGGCAGGCGGUAGACGUGGGAUGCUCAGGAGGAUACGCCCCAUGUGGCAUCUGAUCAAGUCUGGCUUAGGUGUAAGGACAACGUUCAGGACAAAAACUAUGCCUUUCCCAUUUUACCAUUGAAGAUGUCUUAGACAACCAAUAAAGUGGACGGUGUAGGACCACAGCCCUGCACAGCGACGUUCUUGCAUCACUCGGCUCAACCACAGGAAGUCUCACACCACUGAGUCUGACCACAGGAACGGGCAAAUGAAAAGUCAUGCAGCUAUAUGGGCAAUGGAACUUCCCUGCCUCCAGUUCCUGGCCAGGAAGUGGGGGCUGGGUGGAGAAAUCUGGAAGCUGCCUGCUUACCUACCAGGUCUCCACUCUGUUUUGCUAUGAAGCCUCUAAGCCUUGAUACCUGUUAAUGGAUGUAUUUGUUGUGAGAAAUAAAUGAGAUGGUGGGG
rnacentral:lncRNA from 1 species